rnacentral:rRNA from 1 species
AACGAACGCUGGCGGCAGGCCUAACACAUGCAAGUCGAACGCCGUAGCAAUACGGAGUGGCAGACGGGUGAGUAACACGUGGGAACGUACCCUUCGGUUCGGGAUAACUCAGGGAAACUUGAGCUAAUACCGGAUACGUCCGAGAGGAGAAAGAUUUAUUGCCGAGGGAUCGGCCCGCGUCUGAUUAGCUUGUUGGUGAGGUAACGGCUCACCAAGGCGACGAUCAGUAGCUGGUCGAGAGGAUGAUCAGCCACAUUGGGACUGAGACACGGCCCAAACUCCUACGGGAGGCAGCAGUGGGGAAUAUUGGACAAUGGGGGAAACCCUCGAUCCAGCAAUGCCGCGUGAGUGAUGAA